GAACAGCCGUCUGGAGAGACGUCGCAGCGCACCCCGGUGCCGCUGGCGGCGCACCGAAGGAGCAAGCCCCGCAACCGUUGCGGUGUGAAUCUCUCAGGUACCGAGGACAGGGGGAGCGGC
rnacentral:ncRNA from 2 species